rnacentral:rRNA from 1 species
UGGUGGAGUGAUUUGUCUGCUUAAUUGCGAUAACGAACGAGACCUUAACCUGCUAAAUAGCCAGGCCGGCUUUGGCUGGUCGUCGGCUUCUUAGAGGGACUGUCGGCGUUUAGCCGACGGAAGUUUGAGGCAAUAACA